GAUGAAGAACGUAGCGAAAUGCGAUACGUAAUGUGAAUUGCAGAAUUCAGUGAAUCAUCGAAUCUUUGAACGCAUAUUGCGCUCUCUGGUAUUCCGGAGAGCAUGCUUGUUUGAGUAUCAGUAAACACCUCAACUCCUUUUUCUUUUUUGAAAUUGGAGCUGGACUUGAGUGAUCCCAACGCUUUCUUCCAAGAAAGUGGCGGGUUGCUUGAAAUGCAGGUGCAGCUGAACUUUUCUCUGAGCUAUAAGCAUAUCUAUUUAGUCUGCCUAAAAAACAGAUUAUUACCUUUGCUGCAGCUAACAUAAAGGAGACUAGUUCUUGUGCUGACUGAUGCAGGAUUCACAGAGACAGCUUCGGCUGACUUUGUAAACUCGAUCUCAAAUCAAGUAAGACUACCCGCUGAACUUAAGCAUAUCAAUAAGCGGAGGA
rnacentral:misc_RNA from 1 species